rnacentral:tRNA from 2 species
AAUUAGAAAGCGAACAUAUCGCUCUUAGUUUCGGCCUAAGCUUUGGUUUUUAAACCUCUAAUUU